rnacentral:rRNA from 1 species
GGACAUAACAUAAAAGUGGAGGCUAUUGUAACUGAAGAGAACUGGAAAGUUCCACCGUAGAAGGUAAUAGUCCUGUAAGUGAAACGAGAAGACCACGAGUUAUGAUCCAGAGUACCACGAGACACGUGAAACCUUGUGGGAAGCAGGGAGGACCACCUCCCAAGGCUAAAUACUACCUGAUGACCGAUAGUGAAGCAGUACCGUGAGGGAAAGGUGAAAAGAACCCCGGGAGGGGAGUGAAAUAGAACCUGAAACCGUGUGCCUACAACCGCUCAGAGCCCCUUAUGAGGGUGAUGAGGUGCUUUUUGUAGAACGAGCCAACGAGUUACGGUAUGUAGCAAGGUUAAGUACUUAAGGUACGGAGCCGAAGGGAAACCGAGUCUGAAUAGGGCGACUAGUUGCAUGCCGUAGACCCGAAACCGGGUGACCUAUCCAUGGCCAGGUUGAAGCGAGGGUAAAACCUCGUGGAGGACCGAACCACGUUGCUGUUGAAAAAGCAUGGGAUGAGCUGUGGAUAGCGGAGAAAUUCCAAUCGAACCCGGAGAUAGCUGGUUCUCUCCGAAAUAGCUUUAGGGCUAGCGUCGAGUAUGAGUAGUGGAGGUAGAGCACUGAAUGGGCUAGGGGGCAUAGCGCUUACCGAACCUUAUCAAACUCCGAAUGCCACAUACUUUGAGCUCGGCAGUCAGACUACGAAUGAUAAGAUCCGUGGUCAAAAGGGAAACAGCCCAGAUCGUCAGCUAAGGUCCCAAAGUGUAAGUUAAGUGGGAAAGGAUGUGAGAUUUCUAAGACAACUAGGAUGUUGGCUUAGAAGCAGCCAUUCAUUAAAAGAGUGCGUAAUAGCUCACUAGUCGAGAGAUCUUGCGCCGAAAAUGUAACGGGGCUAAACUUACCACCGAAGCUACGGGCUUGAACUUAGUUCAAGCGGUAGGAGAGCGUCGUAACCGGGCUGAAGUCGUACCGUAAGGAGCGGUGGACUGGUUACGAGUGAGAAUGUUGGCAUCAGUAGCGAGAUGUGGGUGAGAAUCCCACAGGCCGAAAACCUAAGGUUUCCUCAGGAAGGUUCGUCCGCUGAGGGUUAGUCGGGACCUAAGCCGAGGCCGAAAGGCGUAGGUGAUGGACAACUGGUUGAUAUUCCAGUACCACUACCAUCGUUAUUAUCGAUGGCGUGACGCAGGAGGAUAGUGUGUGCUAGCUAU